rnacentral:lncRNA from 1 species
CCAAGGAAACAGCUGAGCCCCCACCUCAAAGAGGAAACGCAACCGCCACAGCCCCCGCCGCCACCUGCUCCGGAGCCAAACAACCAACAAAUUCCUGCUCAAUUCGAAGGGAUAAAGCGGACUGCUGAUUCACUCCUAGGAACGCCCGGGCUGUUUCCACUGAGGAUAGAGGCAUAGCUUAACAGGAAUGGGACGUCAUCGUGAACGCUCUGGCAGAGCCACCUGGGGACUUGAAGUUGCAGGUGGGCUGAAAAUUUGCCAAGAACACGGACGACUGGACAGUUCACUUUCAUUUGCAACAAUUUCCAAGAGGACCCUCGGUUACACAGCAUAAUUACAAAACUAAAGCAAACAUGUUAAAUGCCCUGCACCUUUUUUGAGAUGCCAAGUAUGGCCUUCUUGGGUGCCAUGAAGCAUUAAGAUAGCCUCAGGCAUCAGCACACAUUCCAGGUCCAAAUCCAAUUCCCACGGCCCAGCAGGCAAGCUGGGACAGUGGAAAUGCGAGUAUAUGGCCCAGCAUUACUCCGGAGGACUGUGGGGGUGAGCGUGCCACUUCCCAGAACCGUGGCUCUGACAGCUUCAACUGCACUCACGUCAGUGCUAUUAAGAGAUGUUCCUACCUUCAAACAUUGUGAAAUCUCACCCCGCUCCGAGGACACAUCCCUCCAGAUCUGUCUCCGAUCAACACGGGAGGCUGUGCUUUGUGCUAUUAAAAAUUUCUCUGGAACAAGAAGGGCAAAAUGCUGAUGCUUCAUGAUGCAUACAUGGGGGUUUGUUACACAAUUAUCUCCAUUUUGUGCACAUUUAAAAAAUUUCCAUAAUAAAAAGUUCAAAGUAUAAAAAUUUGUCUGGGGAUUAAAUCAUUGUCAGAUGCAAGAACUAUGCGCCCAGACUGGGCUUCAGUCCAGGUGGGAGAGACUCUGAUUUGUAGGUGAUUGAUUGUUAUUUCCAAGGAGAAUGUUAGGGGUUUAAAAAC